rnacentral:rRNA from 1 species
GAUGAACGCUGGCGGCGUGCCUAAUACAUGCAAGUCGAGCGAAUGGAUUAAGAGCUUGCUCUUAUGAAGUUAGCGGCGGACGGGUGAGUAACACGUGGGUAAUCAACCCCUGACAUCGGGAUACCCCGGGGAAACCCGGAUCAAUGCCGGAUAAGGUGCGGAGGCGCAGGCCGCCGUACCAAAGGUAGCUUCGGCUUCCGGUCAUGGACGAGCCCGCGGCCCAUUAGCUUGUUGGUGGGGUAAUGGCCCACCAAGGCGACGAUGGGUAGCUGGUCUGAGAGGACGAUCAGCCACACUGGGACUGAGACACGGCCCAGACUCCUACGGGAGGCAGCAGUGGGGAAUCUUGCGCAAUGGGCGGAAGCCUGACGCAGCAACGCCGCGUGCGGGAAGAAGGCCUUAGGGUCGUAAACCGCUUUCAGGGGGGACGAAGCUUCCGGGGUGAAUAGCCUACGGGGUGACGGUACUCCCAGAAGAAGGUCCGGCUAACUACGUGCCAGCAGCCGCGGUAA